rnacentral:rRNA from 1 species
AUACGGAGGAUCCGAGCGUUAUCCGGACUUAUUGGGUUUAAAGGGUGCGUAGGCUGAUAAAUCAGUCAGCGGUGAAAUUUACGGGCUUAACUUGUAGCUUGCCGUUGAAACUAUUUAUCUAGAGAUAUUUCGGCGUAUGCGGAAUGUAUCAAGUAGCGGUGAAAUGCAUAGAUAUGCUACAGAACACCAAUCGCGAAGGCAGCAUACGAGGCAUCAUCUGACGCUGAUGCACGAAAGCGUGGGGAUCAAACAGGAUUAGAUACCCUGGUAGUCCACGCAGUAAACGAUGAUUACUAGCUGUUUGCGAUACAAUGUAAGCGGCUGAGCGAAAGCGUUAAGUAAUCCACCUGGGGAGUACGUUCGCAAGAAUGAAACUCAAAUGAAUUGACGGGG